ensembl:misc_RNA
AAAAGUGCCCUGGAGACUUAAGUCUUCCAUUUAUCCACAGAACAGGCAAAGGAUGGACAACAGAAGAAAACACUGACCCACACCAGCCUGCCAUUCUGCUCAGCCCUGACCCUGGGAGAGACCACUUCAAAGAUCAAGAGAGCAGUUGAGUCUCCAUGGUCAUUGUUUCUUUGGCCUCU